ACACAUACAACUCUGCAUGCAACGCAAUUAUCAUGGAAUAAUGUCAAACAUUACAAUUCACCACUGCGCAGAUGACAAAAGUAGUUUUUAUGAAGUGAAGAUAUGAAUUAUUUUAAGUUCAGGUUGCGUCACAAUUCUCUCUCUAUGCAUCCUCUGCUGUCUUUACUGGUACGCCAACUAACGACCCGACAACCGCGAAAACAAACAGCAGUAAGAUGGCCGACUCCCGCGCGCGGCAGGAAUAUCUGACAUUCGUUUGUUCCAUCGCCGUCGCUCCGAGCGACAGAGGCCAAUUACUGCAGCAGCCGCGUGACCUUUAGCAUGCAGAUGAGCCACACAGCGCACGUGCUAUGUGUGUGUGGCCGGUAAAUAUUAACGGGAACGGAAGAGCGGAGCCAUAAUGACGCGCGGAUCGUUAGAGGCUCGUUAGGGACCACGAGACGGAGGAUAUUAAAGAGCAACCCCAGGAAGAACAUGGAAGCUAAUGGAGAUCCAAAAGAAAAAACAAAAUAUUCAGUUGAAAAUAGCAAAAAUCAGCCACUGAGCUUGCUGCUCAACAUUCAAAUACUGGGCCAGUGCUUGCUGUAAAAGAAACCCUCCACCAUCCCCAGCUCCACCUGUACAGAUCUGCUACGGAGUGAUUCAUUCUUGCAAUCUGGCCACCUGGUUUAACGAAGAACAUCUCAUGAAUUAUUCCACCGGACUACACUUGGAAUCUCCCGCCUUGCUCUCCAAAUCCUUGCUCGCAUCUUGCGUCUCUUUUAAAACUUUAUUUCCUCCACUUUUCUUCACCUCUAAUCCCCAUUAGCCUCAUUUUCAGCAAUGGACCGAAUACCUCUACCAGUGUUUUUGUUAAAAAUGACUAAAAGUUUCCUGUUUACCAUUUUGGGUGUGCCGUCUGAGAUCUUCCAUCGCUGGCACAUACACAAAAGCCGAACGAACGGCUCACAACAGUCUAUAAAAGUGUUAAC
ensembl:lncRNA